CACGCAGCCUCCAGACCUAUCGCAAUGCACAAGUGCAAUACACACAACCAAAAGAUACGAAACAGAAGCCAGAAAAUUAAGAUCCCCACAACAAUACUGGGUGACAGCAUGGCAACUAUGGGACGACUGGUAUACAAAAUCUGUCUUCACUAAACAAACUACAACCAACACUGACGACUAGCCUUCAUGCAGAAAUGCAAUAAUGGG